rnacentral:rRNA from 1 species
UACGUAGGGUGCAAGCGUUAAUCGGAAUUACUGGGCGUAAAGCGUGCGCAGGCGGUUUUGUAAGUCUGUCGUGAAAUCCCCGGGCUCAACCUGGGAAUUGCGAUGGAGACUGCAAGGCUAGAAUCUGGCAGAGGGGGGUAGAAUUCCACGUGUAGCAGUGAAAUGCGUAGAGAUGUGGAGGAAUACCGAUGGCGAAGGCAGCCCCCUGGGAUAACACUGACGCUCAUGCACAAGAGCGGGUGGAGCAAACAGGAUUGAGAAAACCCCAG